UACGGAAGGCAGCAGUGGGGAAUAUUGCACAAUGGGCGCAAGCCUGAUGCAGCCAUGCCGCGUGUAUGAAGAAGGCCUUCGGGUUGUAAAGUACUUUCAGUCGUGAGGAAGGUGUUAAGGUUAAUAACCUUAGCAAUUGACGUUAGCGACAGAAGAAGCACCGGCUAACUCCGUGCCAGCAGCCGCGGUAAUACGGAGGGUGCGAGCGUUAAUCGGGAUUACUGGGCGUAAAGGGCACGCAGGCGGUUAAUUAAGUUGGAUGUGAAAUCCCCGGGCUUAACCUGGGAAUGGCAUUCAAGACUGGUUAGCUAGAGUCUUGUAGAGGGGGUAGAAUUCCAUGUGUAGCGGUGAAAUGCGUAGAGAUGUGGAGGAAUACCGGUGGCGAAGGCGGCCCCUGGACAAAGACUGACGCUCAUGUGCGAAAGCGUGGGGAGCAAACAGGGAUUAGAUACC
rnacentral:rRNA from 1 species